GACGAACCGUGCGAACGUUAUUCGGAAUCACUGGGCUUAAAGCGCACGUAGGCGGCUUCUUAAGUCGGUGGUGAAAUCCUGGAGCUCAAUUCCAGAACUGCCUUUGAUACUGGCGAUCUCGAGUCCGGGAGAGGUGAGUGGAACUGCGAGUGUAGAGGUGAAAUUCGUAGAUAUUCGCAAGAACACCAGUGGCGAAGGCGGCUCACUGGCCCGGUACUGACGCUGAGGUGCGAAAGCGUGGGGAGCAAACAGG
rnacentral:rRNA from 1 species